UACGUAGGGGGCUAGCGUUGUCCGGAAUCAUUGGGCGUAAAGAGCGUGUAGGCGGUCCGGUAAGUCCGCUGUGAAAGUCGGGGGCUCAACCCUCGAAUGCCGGUGGAUACUGUCGGGCUAGAGUACGGAAGAGGCGAGUGGAAUUCCUGGUGUAGGCGGUGAAAUGCGCAGAUAUCAGGAGGAACACCAAUUGCGAAGGCAGCUCGCUGGGACGUUACUGACGCUGAGACGCGAAAGCGUGGGGAGCAAACAGG
rnacentral:rRNA from 1 species